UGUGGUGUAGCUCACUGGUAGAGCUCUUGCCUAGCACACAUGAAGACCUGGGUUUGAUCCCCAGUACCACAA
rnacentral:tRNA from 1 species